rnacentral:sRNA from 1 species
CUUGGUCUUUUUCCUUCCAUGGCGUCUUUCUUUUUCUU